AACUUUUGACAACGGAUCACUUGGCUCUCGCAUCGAUGAAGAACGCAGAGAAAUGCGAUAAGUAAUGUGAAUUGCAGAAUUCCGUGAAUCAUCGAAUCUUUGAACGCACCUUGCACCCUUUGGAAUUCCGAAGGGUAUGCUCGUUUGAGUGUCAUUGUACUCUCACACUCUCUGAUCCUUUGGCUUCGGGGAGCGGUGGACUUGGGUGUUUGCUGCUUUUCGUUGUGGCUCACCUCAAAUGCGUUAGUGCACCUCUUGGUUGGACAUAGUACGGCGUGAUAAGUAUCUUCGGCGGCACCUCGCGAGAGGGUGGCCGAUCGAGAGCUCUGUGCUUUCCAACCGUCUUCGGACACCAUCUGACAACUUGACCUCAAAUCGAGUAGGACUACCCGCUGAACUUAAGCAUAUCAAUAAGCGGAGGCU
rnacentral:misc_RNA from 1 species